CAAACAUUUAUUAUUCUUUAUUGUAUAAAAUAACCUAACUGAAAAAACACCAAGAUUGCUAUUCACUGAAAAUCAUUUUGGGGAAAUCAUGGGCAAAGUUUUGGAUAAAAUUCUCUAAAAUUACAAAUUAUGGUAAACUAAAAUAAACAUGGCAACAUUUAGAAAAAUAGCUCAUCUGGGAAAAUUAUCCCACUCGGCUAAAUAAUAUUUUAUCAAUUCCUGCAUAUGGUUUCCAUUUGGAAUUUCAUUCACUACAAUUCUGAACAAACCAAACUGCAUUUAGCCAAAUUUUACAUUAAUUGACUCAACUAAUGCUCAAAGUGAGCUGAAUUGAUUAACUCCUUCACUACCAAAAAUGUUUAUACACAAAUGUAAAAUGUAUACCCUCAAAACUGCAUUAUAGGAACAAAAGCAAAUGGAUGGGAAGCUUAAAGGGACACUAUAGUCAUCCAGACCACUUCAGCUCAAUUAAGUGGUCUGGGUGUCAGGUCCCUCUAGGGUUAACCCUGCCUGAUGUAAACAUAGCAGUUUCUGAGAAACUGCUAUGUUUACAUCUGGGGUUAGGCCAGCCUCUAGUGGCUGUCUUCCGGCCAGCCACUAGAGGCGCAUCGGCAAUGAUUGAGGCAUAUUAUGCCUCAAUCACGCAGAGCAUCUAUAGGAAAGCAUUG